ensembl:snRNA U6atac minor spliceosomal RNA
GUGUUGUAUGAAAGGAGAGAAGGUUAGCACUCCCCUUGACAAGGAUGGAAGAGACCUUCGGGUCUAACAACACGCAUACGGUUAAGGCAUUGCCACUUACUUCGUGGCAUCUAACCACUGUUUUUU